rnacentral:ncRNA from 2 species
CGCAAUCCGUUGGGGUGCCGCAAGGCUGAGAGGUGAAAACCGACCCAUCGAACCUGAUCCGGGUCGUACCGGCGUAGGGAACGGAACCAAGCAUCGG